UUCGUCCAACCGAACAGCUUUUGGUAAACCAAAUUACAAUGGAUACAUUAAUUAUCUUUUUUUUUUUUUUGGUGUAGGUAACCAAUUUCACUACCUGUAUCCGAACACCCGAUUUCGCCCAUUGUUCGCGCAUUAAGUGAUAAGAGACUAGUCAAUCAAACCUUUACCAUUUGUUUAAGAGAUGAAGUGUUGAACUACUACAUCAACUGAUUUGAUUUGGAUACAUUAUUUUUUUAUACUAUUUUGUCCAGAUUUAAAAAGGAAAAAAAUACUCUUAACUAUUAAUAAGACACAUUUUAUUUUGGGUGAGUGAUCAAGGCGUUAACUCUGGCUCUACGGGAAGAGCCGCCAGCAAAGGUUAUGAAUACGAUUGAAUAGAACAAGAGGAUCAUCUCAGCUUCUCGCCAAAGGAUGGAUGCUUCUAUUGUGAGCUUAUUUGAUGGUGAUAAGAAACAAUAAACUGAAGUGAGCUUGUCUUUUCCUCUUUGCCUAAAAUGUUAUAUCUUGUACAUUUGUUAUAUGCUUUUUUAUUAUGUUCGAAUUAAUCUCUUGAUGGAUAUUCUCAAAUUAUAUCGGUGAA